GUACACGCUGUGACUAGCAUAUCAAUAAGCGGAGGAAAAGAAACUGACAAGGAUUCCCCUAGUAACGGCGAGUGAAGCGGGAAGAGCUCAAAUUUGAAAUCUUAAAGGGUUUCCCUUUACGAAUUGUAGUUUAAAGAAGUGUUUUCUGUUGAGGUUUUGGUAAAAGUUCUUUGGAAUAGGACAUCAUAGAGGGUGAGAAUCCCGUAUUUGACCUUUACUUUCAACUUUGUGAUACACUUUCAAAGAGUCGGAUUGUUUGGGAAUGCAGUCCAAAAUGGGUGGUAAAUUUCAUCUAAAGCUAAAUAUUGGCGAGAGACCGAUAGCGAACAAGUACCGUGAGGGAAAGAUGAAAAGAACUUUGAAAAGAGAGUUAAACAGUACGUGAAAUUGUCAAAAGGGAAGCGUUUGACACCAGUGUUGUUUUUCUGAAAAUCAAUUAAAGAACUGUUUAUGCUAAGCUGUUUAGACUUUAUCAGCUAUCUGUUUAGUUUUGAGCUUUUCUUUAAUGCACUUUUCAGUUAACAAGUCAACAUCAAUUUCUUUUGCUGUAAAAAAGCUUUGAGGAAGGUGGCUUGAGAUUCGUCUUAAGUGUUUAUAGCCUCUUGCCUAUGCAGUCGGAGAGAUUGAGGUCUGCAGCGUAGAUCCUUCGGGGCUAAAUGCAUUUGUGCUAAGUUAUAGCAUUUUAUAGACAACUUGUUGACUAUGAUUUGUCUUGUAGCUUACUCGCUUAUGUUAUUUUACCUACGCUUAGGAUGUUGAAGAUGUAGCACAUCAU
rnacentral:rRNA from 1 species